AUUGUUCCAUCUGUAAGGGCGCACCCUUCUAUAUAGAAGUACCUUGCCUUGCUGAAAAUUAAAAAGAAAAUUUUAUAUUCGAGUGCUAUUCCUUUUGUGGCACUGAAACUUUACAUAUAACAAUUAGGGGCUCCUCUGGGAUUACAUUCCCCUCUGGGGGCGAUCUCUGGUUCUCCUUCGUGAGGAGGUGCGCCCCACCCCCUUGUGGCAGCCUCAGGGGUGAGAAAUCAAGACCCACCCAGUACGAGGAAUAACCCCAGCUCUCAGCAACGCGGGGGAAAAAAAGAAACUGACCAGCAACCUAGCUUAAAGGAUCCUCACAUACUGUGGCAACGACUCUGUGCACAGACCAAGGAAGGAGAAGCCACGGGAGCUGAUUAACUUCAUAUACGUAGAAGUCUGCCAGCUGCCACGUUUCAGCCACAAUUGUUCUGAAGAGCUGGUGAGUAACCAGUCAAUGUGAGAACAUAAGUAUCGCAGAUAACACUCAUGAUGCAAUUCAAAGAGGAUGCAGCAAGAGAGGACUCCAGUGCCCAAAACAGUGUGAGCGAAUCAAUUUAUCCACCACCACUCAGCCAAAAAGAGAGGCAUUUCAUGAAGAACACGCUCCCAAGGCCAAUGUAUAAGAAAUCUAAGCUCUGUUAAGGAUUAGCAAGGAAGAAACUGAGUCAUGUUCAUGUUUGCUGAUACUCUCUCACUUUUAUAAUACUCCCGAAAUUAAAGGCGGCACCAAGUAAGAAAAACAGAGUGUCUUCCUCCCACUCCUCCCUUAAUUUGGGAGGGGAUUCCGUGGACUCAGAAAAGGAAGAGAUGAAUCAGAAAACAGGAAAUUUAUUGAGAAAAUAAAUGCAAACAUAAGUGGAACAACUCAAAACAAACAAGAGACCCAAAUCAAAGGAGCUCUAAGACUGCUGAACAUUAACAGCUUGAAGUCAAGCAUUUCCCCUUUCAGAAUGGGCGUUACAUGUGAAAGAUUUAGUUCCUUGAAUUCAGAAAUUUUGUUGGGUUUUUUAAGGCAAACAAUUUAAACUGAACUGAUAUCUUUCUUUCUCCUAUCUCUAAAGGCUACAAAGCCACAGAACAGACAAAUUCUUGUGUUGAAAGUAAGCAAAGGUCUGGAGGUGAGGCUAAAUAAUGUUGAGCUCUGAUUUCUUCCUUUCCAUUUCCAUUAAUUUAAAGUGCUAAGUUGUCUAUUUGCUUUAAAAUAUGUCGUUGUGCUCUGUGCACUGUCCCUUUAAAUAGAUUUUCCUUUGGCUCUGCCAAAAAUAGCUGGAGAAGGUCCUUUGAGAAUCCCAUUCUUAGUCUUAAAAAAAAAAAUGCACUCUUCUUCCUGCCCCAUACCCAUAAAUAGGCCAGGAAGCGGUAUCACUCACUUCUUUCAUGGACCUCCCAUCUAUCAGAAAUAAUAAAUCUUUCAGGAGAAAAAAAAAAAAAGAGCCAGUCAAGGAAGUAACUCCCUUAGCCCAUUUCUGCUUGCUCAUUUAUGUGAUUCACCAAAUAUCGAGCUCCUCUUUUGGCAUAAGCCAAUAGGUAGGCAAGGAUUGAAAACCCAAAUGCCUACAACACGGCCAGGCAGGUAGGAGACCUGAAAGAAGUAGGCCGGGAGCAAGAGACAACAGGGACUGUUAGGAACUAAGGCGAACUGGAGAAGGCACACCCUGGGGGAUAGGGUGUGGCUGCUACUCAGCUCCAGCCAAUUGUCAGUGGUGAGAUACGAAUUUUUCAAGUAAAAUCGCCCCCUUUAAAGAUGUUGGAAACCUGUUCAAAGUUUCAAAACAGUAAUGUGUAGGACACCACCACCACCAAACACAUGUGUGGGCUGCUCUGGCCCUGGGUUUCGUUUGUAACUUCUAGGUAAGAAACAAAGACAAGGGAGACAGACUGCCCAUCCCCUGAGAGCUUAAGAUGUCACAGGAGGGAGAGAUACAUACCUGGGCAAAUUGUUCCACCAGGUGGAAUGUGAUACAUGCUAAAAGAGAGGAACAAGCAAAGGCUGUGGGAGCUCAGGAAAGCAAGAGGGCACUUGUGGCAGGAAGGAUUCUUGUUGGCAGUGACAUUUGAGCUGAAGCUAGAAGAAUGAGGUAGCCUUUGGCAGGCAGAGGCUGGGGAGGGGCCAUUCCAGACAGGAGAAAAUGAAUUGCAAAAGGUAAAAAGAUGGAGCAGGGAGGUGGGUAUCUGAGAAGUGGUCAAGAGACUCUUCAUGCGUUUGCUCAACAAAUAUUCUUGAGUGUCUAUUGUGUGCCAUGCAGUAGGGACAGGAUGGUGAUCAUGAGAAACAGACACAAGAUGAAACUGCAAAUUCCAGAAAUGUCUGGUCCAGACAGGGCUUUGGAGGCCAUUUCCAGGGUUUUAUCUUAAGAGCAAUGGGGAAGCUGCCUUUGAAGUUUUUUUAAGCAGGGGAAUCACAUGCUGAGAUUUGCAGUUUUCAAAGUUCCCUGGAAGCACAACAUGCACUCUGCGGACUGGAGAAGAGCCAGAGCUCCACCAGCCAGAGCAACAGGGAGGAGGCCUUCGCAAGCAGUGUGGGAAAGACACAAUGGCAGCUUGGACUACAGGAGUACUGAUGGAGACAGAGAAAAGUAGACAGAUUCAAGAGAUAGAAAAGGGUUAAAAUCACUAGAACUCCUGGUGGGAGUCAGUGAGGGAAAAGCCCGAUGUGACUGGAGAAUGGGGUCAAUGUGGCUGCAUGGGGGUAUCAGGCCAUACCACCAGUGGCCCAGCGGCCAAGCAAUCCUGCACUGGCAGCACUGCAGCAUUCAGUGGUUACUAGAGAGAACAAAGGUUCCGGAGCCAGGGUGUACGGCUGAGGGAAGGUAGCCAGAGAAACUCACAGGAGCUUUCCAUCCAAGCCAUCAUCACAAAAUACUGUUUUCUUUAAAUGUGUUUUGUAAAAUUCUACGGCUAUUUUAUUUGGACUAGUCUUGACAGCAAAUGAAUAACUAGCUCUUCUCAUGUUUAACAGCUCAUUGGUAAGUUAAAUCUUAUCUUCUAGACUUGGGAUGGAGAAAGAAGGAAUAUUAGAGUAUCUAAAAUGUGCUUAUGUUAAGUCUUAAUGUUCACUUCCUUUUAUUUUGAACCCUUCUUAAGAACUUCAAGGAAUGCUACUGAACCACUAGGUCUCAUCCUCCUUGGUGCCAAUGCCUGGCAAGACUUUUUUUUAUAACGACAAGCAUUUGUACAUGAACCCAAUUCAUUGUUUCUAGAUCAUUAAAGAAAUAUGAAUACAUCCUUUUUGAUUUGCAGGGAUGCCUGGAAGUACUCAGACUCAAGUCACAGGAACCAAAAAAACAAAAAAAACCCAAGCUACAACAUGCUCAAUCCUUGAUAACUUCUGCCAACAGAGUCUACAUAUUUUGAUAAGGUCUCACUUGUAUGCCAAGCAUUUUCCCCACAAUACUCCUUUAUAAUCCCAGUGAUCUACAGAAUUUUGUCCAUUUUGGAAAGUCACAACAUAUAACAGAUGAUCAAAAUAAACAUUAGACAAUUGGGUAAUGAAAAGAACACAUAGGGAAUCAGCAAGAGGCAAUGGAGUAAAGUCAGUUUUGCCCUCUUCAUUACCCUCUCUUACCUCCCACCAGUUAAAAUCUUGUAAUUUAGUGCCUAUGUGCCCACACUGCAGAUGUACUCAUCUCUCCUCCCAAAAUUGGUCUUUUUUGUCCUAUAUAUCUUGAUUGUGUUAGCACACCAUGCAAUAGACUUAAUACUCUCUGUUGAAUGUGAUUUACCAAGACUACUUGCUGUAGACACCGUGGGCUGUCUUUAUUCUGUCAAAGCUCUGCCUUUAUUCUAAUAUCCAAUCUCCCCACAAGUGGCUCAAAUAAAUCCUGUUGGGUGGAAAAUAAUCAUGGUGGUCCCCAAUGACUGCUUUGGACCAGUGAGAUGUGACAUAAAGUGUGCUGGAGGAUGUCUGGGACAAGUAUCAUCCUAGCCCUUAAAAAGGGACUCAGAGAAGAAAUAAUGCCUUUUCUGCUUCUGGACAAGCACUAACAUGCAAGGACACAAUGCAGUAUGCUGGGACUCUGCGAGGAGCUAGCCAACAGAAGACGCUGGCUGCGCAGGAACAUGGAAAUAACCUGAGACCUUCAUGAGCUGAGAAACUAACCAACUCUCAGGACAGAUUCUGUGUCAUGACACAACAGAUCUCCUUAUUGUUUAAGCCAUUUUCAAUUGGAUUUUCUGUUUCUUGCAGCUCAAAGCAUCCUAAAGGAUACCCUAUCUCUCUGGGGAAGCAAGACAGUGCUCUGCCUCUCCAACGCCCCUGCAACAAAGGAA